rnacentral:rRNA from 1 species
CGCAGUGGCAGUUCAAGUCUGCUGUCAAAGACCGGGGCUUAACCUCGGAAAGGCAGUGGAAACUGAACAGCUAGAGUAUGGUAGGGGCAAAGGGAAUUCCUGGUGUAGCGGUGAUUUGCGUAGAGAUCAGGAAGAACAUCGGUGGCGAAGGCGCUUUGCUGGACCAUAACUGACACUCAGGGACGAAAGCUAGGGAGCGAAUGGGAUUAGAUACCCCAGUAGUCCUACGCCGUAAACGAUGGAUACUAGGUGUUGUCUGUAUCGACCCGGACAGUGCCGUAGCUAACGCGUUAAGUAUCCCGCCUGGGGAGUACGCAGGCAACUGUGAAACUCAAAGGAAUUGACGGGGGCCCGCACAAGCGGUGGAGUAUGUGGUUUAAUUCGAUGCAACGCGAAGAACCUUACCAGGACUUGACAUGUCGCGGAUCCUUUGGAAACAGAGGAGUGCCUUCGGGAGCGCGAACACAGGUGGUGCAUGGCUGUCGUCAGCUCGUG